GAAAACACAACGCAUGAAGCCCUGCUCUCCCACCUGCUCAUCCCCUAAAUCCAGGUCUCACACCGCAGGCAGUCACACUCCAGUCUUGCAGCACUUUCUUCCAGUAUUCUCCCCAUCACAUGCUUACACUGAUGUUUGUUUGAAUUUUUGUUUAAGAUUUUAUGUAUUUAUUCCCAACUAGGGAAGAUGAAGAUUUAGGGCUUUCAUAACAGCCCCAGCCACACCCACAGCCACCCUAUAGAGUUAUGUCAUCAUUUACAAUGAAAUCAAAAUCCACUGUUUGUACAUCAUUAUGAUUCAAUGUGAUUCCACCCAACCCAGGCCUGCUCAUUUGGCUGGAUGUUGAGUUCUAGCUUGGAGGAGGCAUUCUUUGCUGCCAGUUGCAUGGACUAAACAUGAAAACAUUCCUACCGUACAGCUAGAAGUGUUGGAUAAAAUGUGAGACUCCUUUUAAAUAACUAGCUAAACAUACAAGAAGAAAGGAGACAAAAUCUCCAGGGGCCAAAAGAAGAGGGAAAUAAAGCCUGAAUAGUGAACAUCGGCUGGGCUUAGAUUGACUUGGGGAUUGCAUUAAUAUUGGCACCCAGGGACCUGGAGUUGAACACUCCAGAGACAGAAGAUAAGCUCAGGGGCCCAAGUGAGGCAGGAUAUUAUAAGCAAAAUCCUUGAAGGGCCACCCUGAGAGGAAAUAUUUACCCACCAGCAGAGGAAGAUGACCUGAAAGCAUAUCUAUCUCAGUCCAUGCCAGGAGAAAAAAAAAAAGAGAAGAGAAGAGAAAGAGAGGAGAGGAGAAGGGAAUGCCUCUUAAGAGCUUGUAAUGAUGGGUCUGUCUUGUUCAGGUUUUGGAUUUGAAUUUAUACUCCCUGCAUAGUCCAGGACCCACAGAGCCACAGAAUUAGCACAAAAAUGAUCACAGGCUGGC
rnacentral:lncRNA from 1 species